rnacentral:rRNA from 1 species
AAGUGAAUACAUAGCUUAAUGAGGGGAACUCAGGGAACUGAAACAUCUAAGUACCUGAAGGAAGAGAAAGAAAUUCGAUUCCGUAAGUAGCGGCGAGCGAACGCGGAUUAGCCCAAACCAAUAAAGUUUUCUUUAUUGGGGUUGCGGAAAUAUCAUAACGAAGAGGUAUCGUAAUUGAAGAGGUUUGGAAAGACCCACCACAGAAGGUAAUAGUCCUGUAUGUUAAACGAGAAGACUUCAGAUAUGAUCCAGAGUACCACGGGACACGUGAAACCC